CCCGUCUGCUCUGGGCGUCUGCUUUCAAUUGCGAUCACUCUGUCAUCACGUUGUGUGAUGCUGCAACUGGUAUUAUUCACAUUGUUUAUGUUAUGUACUGGGGCUAACUAGUUAAACUACGAUGGACACUUAAGUUAACUGAGCUUUAUGACAUUUUAAAAAAUCAAAAUGUGGACCUAUCGAGAAUGAGCAUUGAACUAUUGCGAGCUCCAGUUCGUCGCUCGAAAAAUGCACCAUGAGGUUUUUUUCAGUGUUUGGUUUACGUGGAGGUGUCAGUCUACAUUUAGAUUAAUGAAGCUGGUGGCAAGCAGGAUAUCGUUGGAUAAUCCAGAUAGCUGUUUGACAGACCCCAUUUUCGUUUCUUGCGUGGCCAUCUUGCCAUGUAACCUUGCUAAGAAGAUUCUCAUGGUUUCUGCUGAAUCUGAAAAGAAUGAGAUAGCAUUUGUUAACUUGUGAGGAAUUCUCCAAUGUAGCACCAGGGGUGUAUUAUACUACCUAACUGUUUGGUCAUGAUUGUGGUGUAGUGUUGGCAGUGCUCAUGCCAACACUAUCUUUCAUGCCAAAUGUUGAUCAAAGGCCUCUCACCCAAUCAUUCGUUUGACAGGAAUAUAAUCAAUAUUUGUAUGCUACCAUGGAUGGCCUACAGAGCAAGAAGGAAAGAAAAGGUAAUAGUUUGAAACUUUUGUGUUUAAUACAGUAGAAAAUUUGAAACACUCUUUAGGCUGCGAUGGAGGAAUCCAUAUCCCUUCUAAAAAUAGAAGUUUGUGACAAUUUUAACAGAAGAAGACAACGUAAACUAAUUGGUGUGCAAUGCAAAAUUGUAUAGAUUAAAAAGGAAAAAAAGAUUAAUGCUUCCUAUAUAAAUUCAGGCUGUAGUUUUAGAUCUGGAUGGUUUUCUGAUUUCUUCAGUUAGAAUGAAAGAGGUUGUCUUAGACAGCACUGCAAUUCACCCAAAUUAAGUGAGUGAUCCUUAUAUUUAGUAACUUAUGUAAGUUGUUUACCCUAACAUUGGACUGUGCAGCAGAAGCAACUGGCAGAAACUGUUGUGAUCAUGUGUAAUAUGUAUUUGUUCAGAAAGAUGAGAAAAAAAGUAUCACACUUUGUGAAUAGGGAUUUCAUCUGCUGUGACUGAUAAAGAAUCUUUAGUGAAAUUUCAUUGUGACAUUGUUAGGAUGUUAGUCAUUCAAUCUCUUAUUGCAGUCCAUUUGGUAGCUAAAUCCCGUUCACAAAGGAAGGCAAAUUACCUGAACUUGCACGUCAAACGAAUUACAAAUGGCGUUCAGCAGUUUCGCCAUGAGGGUAUCCUUUAGUCUUCUCUUGUUAGCAAUAGGAAUUGCAAUCCGUUUUCAAAUUUAUUUUAACUUGCAUGGUUCAUUAGACAGGGGCUGCUCGCCGUGAAAGGGGAACUAAUUCUGGAGAAUACGAUCGAAUUUAUCGCUGCAAUGUUUUCCUCCUAAAUUAUUUUGAUAUGCUAUUGGUGUCUAAUUGGGAGUAUAUCCGUUCCUUUUAUAUCCAUCAAUGCAUCCAGGUUAGUUGUAUAAAAAACAAACUAGUUAUAUUAUAAUAAAAAACUUAAAAUAUAUAUAAUUUCAUAUGGCAAUCUUUUGAAAGUUUAAGAACGAAUCGUCUUGCAAUAUUUUAUUAUUUGUUUUAAAAGAAUAUUUAAAGCAAACAAUUCAGAAAACAAGUCUAACUAACCGUUUUAUUUGGUCUCUAGUUCGAAAUAUGUCGAUAUCUCGUCGAGCGAUCCAAUAAUUUGUCGUGAAUUCAUUUUAGCUUCGGUAGAUUAAAUUCGGAUCUGCUAUAUUAAGUAGAUGUUGGUCUUUCUGUUAAAAUUCAACCUUUUUCAUUUAUUUGUCUGUUUUACAUUUUCUUACCCUUUUCAUUCAUUUCUCAUUGGUAAAGAAUUAGAAGAAGAAUCGCAGGACACCAAGAUUGACAGGAAGACGCCAGGGAUCAUAAACCAAUGACUAGACAACCACGUUGUUAAUCAUCGUUCCUUCGUGAUAAAAUGUUUCCCCGCUCCCUCCCUUCAGUGGUAAUUGCACAUAAAGAAAACAUGUAGAGAAUAGUCAAAUGUAUAUUACAGCAUCAAACAACAUCUAAUGACGUUGAUCUCGCUAACUGUUUAACAUCUUUUCCUUGCUUGUUUUAAUGUAAUAUCACAAUUAACAUUCCACCAUGGCUAUAUCCAACAGUUAAUGACAACAAAUUUUACAAAGUUGUAAUUCAGUCCAUAUUGAAACCUAAACAAGCAGAUUAACAUGCUACACCAAAGAUGAAAGGGAACUUCUUCUCUGUGCCAUACUAACCAGUCUGCAAUAACAAAGGACCGCAUUUUCGGGAUUCGCACACAAUUUGGGGUAGAGUUCGUGUGUUAGGAGUAUAUACCAAAAAGUUUGCAUAUUUGGCCAAAAUUCAGUAUUUUUAUUUUGUUAACAAACAUUCCCAAAUUUUAUGGAGAUUACAAGUCUCUGAUGAGUAUCGUUGUGUGCUUUGUAGUUCUGAAGUUCUUCGUUACUUCCUGUACACUUCCGUAAAUACAAUUCCGUGUAUAAAAGGCAGUAAGGCACCCUGAGUUAAAAAUCAAGUCGAUCAUAUACGAGUGUGUUCCAUAUUCCAGAAUGCCUAUAGUAUAAGGUUUUUAAAACCUUUGUUGCUUCGCAUUAAAACCUCAAAGAUUGAACGCUACCGUCGUCUGUCAUGUCCGCCAUUAGCUACGUAGACAUGUAAACAUUUUCGCUCUGUUGUUUUUUCAAGUUUUUCCCUUGUUUUGUGCAUCUAUACCAACGAAGUUAAGAAGGUGAAAGCCUCUUAUGUUAACCAGCAAUGAUAAGUUGAAUGCAGAUAGCAAGCAAGCCAAUGCUCAGCUGGUGCUUUGAAAAUGCAAUCUUCUGAUUUUUCAAAGGUUUAAUAUCCCCCAGUACUUCUUCAGAGUAAAGCAGAAAUAUUAUUGGCAAAUUUUCUGCUAGACUAUUACUUGGCAGGUCAAUAAAAAAGAAAGUCCUGAUAGCCGCCUCAUCGUCGCCUUUGUCUUCGCCUUUGCCUUGGCCAUCGUCUCAUCGUCAUCUUCACCUUUGCCUUGGCCAUCGUCUCAUCGCCGUCUUUGCCUUUGCCUUCUCCAUCGUCUCAUCGCCGUCUUCACCUUUGCCUUCUCCAUCAUCUCAUCGCCGUCUUCGCCUUUGCCUUCUCCAUCAUCUCAUCGCCGUCUUCGCCUUUGCCUUCUCCAUCAUCUCAUCGCCGUCUUCGCCUUUGCCUUCUCCAUCGUCUCAUCGCCGUCUUCGCCAUUGCCGCCGUCUUCGCCUUUACCUUCGCCAUUGCCCUAGCGCCGUCUUCGCAUUCGCCCUUCACGGAAAAGUCCAUCGAAAAAGGAUGCAGCUCAGCAGACAGCCUACGGCGAUGGAAGGAGUUCAUCGUGGAUCGUCGGCUUGGUAUUAUUUUGUUUUGUGUAGUGUUAUAUUUAAGUUAACCCGUUGGCUGCCACCCCGUUUGCGUCCCAUUUUUUUUGUAGCUUGUAGGGACCGGGCGCUGUUCUGCCCCAUGGCCAUGGGGGGAACAGUCGCCGCGCCUUUAGGCGCCGUAGGCAAUGCACCAGUAGGGACUUCUCUUUGUCGGCGCGGUGAUAGAUUUCCAGGGGUGUGCAUUCCCGGAAUGGUUUCUAUCACCGUGCCAGCCCGGACUUGUCUUCGGACAAGUCCCAUCUUGUUCGCGAUCCUUCUGACGUGAUGCGUAGCUAUAGUAGUUUAAGCAACCUACGGGUUGCAUGGCCUGGCAGCCAACGGGUUAACUUGUUAAUUGUAUAUGUAUGUAUAUGUAUGCAUAUUUGUAUGAAUUUGUGUAUGUAAUUAUGUAUUUGUAAGUUAUG